CCUACGGGAGGCAGCAGUGAGGAAUCUUGGUCAAUGGCCGUAAGGCUGAACCAGCCAAGUAGCGUGAGGGAAGACUGCCCUAUGGGUUGUAAACCUCUUUUAUGCGGGGAUAAAGGUGUCCACGUGUGGAUGUUUGCAGGUACCGCAUGAUUAAGGACCGGCUAAUUCCGUGUCAGCAGCCGCGGUAAUACGGAAGGUCCGGUCGUUAUCCGGAUUUGUUGUGUUUAAAGGGAGCGUAGGCCGGUCGUUAAGGGUGCCGUUAAAGUUUGUGGCUCAACCAUGAGAGUGAGUCGCGAACUGGAGACCUGGGGUGCGCGGGAGACAGGCGGAAUUCGUGGUGUAGCGGGGAAAUGCU
rnacentral:rRNA from 1 species